GACGAACGCUGGCGGCGUGCCUAAUACAUACAAGUUGAGCGAUGAAGCUUGGUGCUUGCACCAAUUUGAAGAGCAGCGAACGGGUGAGUAACGCGUGGGGAAUCUGCCUUUGAGCGGGGGCCAACAUUUGGAAACGAAUGCUAAUACCGCAUAACAACUUUAAACAUAAGUUUUAAGUUUGAAAGAUGCAAUUGCAUCACUCAAAGAUGAUCCCGCGUUGUAUUAGCUAGUUGGUGAGGUAAAGGCUCACCAAGGCGAUGAUACAUAGCCGACCUGAGAGGGUGAUCGGCCACAUUGGGACUGAGACACGGCCCAAACUCCUACGGGAGGCAGCAGUAGGGAAUCUUCGGCAAUGGACGAAAGUCUGACCGAGCAACGCCGCGUGAGUGAAGAAGGUUUUCGGAUCGUAAAACUCUGUUGGUAGAGAAGAACGUUGGUGAGAGUGGAAAGCUCAUCAAGUGACGGUAACUACCCAGAAAGGGACGGCUAACUACGUG
rnacentral:rRNA from 1 species